ACUGCAUGAGUAGCAGUGGGGAACUGUUACAUCCGGGCAGGCUGGUUAAGACGCCUUCUCCACGGAUGGUUACCGGGGUGGCCUGGAGAAAGGGCAUCUGGAGUUCGAUGUGGCACAACAUGCCCAGGCGGGGUACGGUAUCCACCCAGGGACAGCACCAGGAGACCCGAGGACCCCAGGGUGGCAGUGCUUUAGAGCAGCCUGGAGAUGUUCAAGGCAAAGGUGGCCCUGACAAUGCUGACUUUAGUGAGAGGCCAGAGCUUCGCCAGACAGCCUGGGACCUAACUUUUGAAGAGCUUGGGCAGAGGAUGGAGGACACCCACUGCCCUGAGCCACAGCACCACGGUCUUGGGUAGCCCCCACGGCGGCCAGAGCCCCCCCGCCCCCAGUACAGGCAGGUGCACGAAGCAAGAGCCUUGCCUAUUCUGCGCUCCCCACUUCUCCAAAACGCAGGCCUGAGGUACCAUCAAAGGUGGGCGUCGGGGGUGGGGUUGGGGGGGAGGCGGCAGGCAAAGGAGGAAGGAAAGGAGAAGGAGAUGGAAAACAAUUUUAAAAAAUCAACCUUCGGCAGCACCUGAUAACCUGGAGUAGACGGCGAUCGGCGCCGGACAGCAUACAAAAGCCAAAGGCGGGUCCCGGGACCGGUCAACUUAAGACUUAAUAUUUGCCUUUCGCUAAGCAAACUAAUAAAUCCCCUGCAGUUUUAGCCA